GGGGUUAGAAAUUCCCAGGUGUAGCGGGUGAAAUGCGUAGAAGAUGUGGAGGAAUACCGGUGGGCGAAGGCGGCCCCCUGGACAAAGACUGACGCUCAGGUGCGAAAGCGUGGGGGAGCAAACAGGAUUAGAUACCCUGGUAGUCCACGCCGUAAACGAUGUCGACUUGGAGGUUGUUCCCUUGAGGCGUGGCUUCCGGAGCUAACGCGUUAAGUCGACCCCCUGGGAAGUACGGCCGCAAGGUUAAAACUCAAAUGAAUUGACGGGGGCCCGCCCAAGCGGUGGAGCAUGUGGUUUAAUUUGAUGCAACGGGAAGACCCUUACCUACUUUUGCCAUCCAGAGAACUUACCAGAGAUGAUUUGGUGCCUUCGGGAAUUUUGAGACAGGUGCUGCAUGGCUGUCGUCAGUUCGUGUUGGGAAAUGUUGGGUUAAGUCCCGCAACGAGCGCAACCCUUUUCCUUUGUUGCCAGCGGUUCGGCCGGGAACUCAAAGGAGACUGCCAGUGAUAAACCGGAGGAAGGUGGGGAUGACGUCAAGUCAUCAUGGCCCUUACGAGUAGGGCUACACACGUGCUACAAUGGCGCAUACAAAGAGAAGCGACCUCGCGAGAGCAAGCGGACCUCAUAAAGUGCGUCGUAGUCCGGAUUGGAGUUUGCAACUCGACUCCAUGAAGUCGGAAUCGCUAGUAAUCGUAGAUCAGAAUGGUACGGUGAAUACGUUCCCGGGCCUUGUACACACCGCCCGUCCCACCAUGGGAGUGGGUUGCAAAAGAAGUAGGUA
rnacentral:rRNA from 1 species